UUUUCACUCUGGAUACAUGAGGAGGACUGACCAUGUACUGUACUUCUUUUAACUUCUAUAGAGCAAUCUCUUUGUAUUUAUACAAUUAUGACAACAGUAGUAAGAGAAGAAGGUUCAGAGGAUACAAGCAUGCUGCAGUACAAAAAUUCUAUAAAAAUACCUUUUUUGAGUCAUUAACAUAAAAUGAAGAAAACAGCAGCAGCCAAGAAGAGAGAUGUUGAAAUUUAAGAGAGGAAGACAGAGAAGAAAAAUCCACUGGAUACCUUAUGUGUAAUUCACCAAUCUGUUGGAACACUUCUGCCACGUGUGAAGAGUUUUGGCAGACCAAAUCCACAUGCCUGAAGUGAUGCCCACCAACAAAGACAUAAAAAUUUUCAACAUUUCAACAGCCAUGUUGGAAUCAUCUGCAGAAUACCGAAAAAGUGCCCAGUUGGAGAUUUCAUAAAAAUAACAGGCAAUCACAC
rnacentral:sRNA from 1 species